rnacentral:rRNA from 1 species
AUUGAACGCUGGCGGCAUGCCUUACACAUGCAAGUCGAACGGUAACGCGGGGCAACCUGGCGACGAGUGGCGAACGGGUGAGUAACGCAUCGGAACGUGCCCAGUAGUGGGGGAUAGCCCGGCGAAAGCCGGAUUAAUACCGCAUACGACCUACGGGUGAAAGCGGGGGAUCGCAAGACCUCGCGCUAUUGGAGCGGCCGAUGUCAGAUUAGGUAGUUGGUGGGGUAAAGGCCUACCAAGCCGACGAUCUGUAGCUGGUCUGAGAGGACGACCAGCCACACUGGGACGGAGACACGGCCCAGACUCAUACGGGAGGCAGCAGUGGGGAAUGUUGGACAAUGGGCGCAAGCCUGAUCCAGCCAUGCCGCGUGCGGGAUGAAGGCCUUCGGGUUGUAAACCGCUUUUGUCAGGGAAGAAACGCUCUGGGCUAAUACCCCGGGGUAAUGACGGUACCUGAAGAAUAAGCACCGGCUAACUACGUGCCAGCCGCCGCGGUAAUAC